rnacentral:rRNA from 1 species
AAAGGGUCUCGCCUGCCCAGUGGCUUAAAGCUAAACGGCCGCGGUAUCUUGACCGUGCAAAGGUAGCAUAAUCAUUUGUCUUUUAAAUGGAGACUUGUAUGAACGGCAAAACCUUUUUUAACUGUCUCUCCUUCUAUCCUUCUAAAUUUCUACUUAUGUGAAGAAGCAUAAAUACUAGAGAAAGACGAGAAGACCCUGUCGAGCUUCAGUCAGAAAGUGAAUGAAAAGAACAAUUUAACCAUGUCACCUAAAGACUUUGGUUGGGGCAACCAUGGAGAAAAAAGAUCCUCCAGAACAAAUAAAAGAAAGCUAUUCUUUAUUACAACUUCAAUUGAAGAACCAGAAACUGGACAACGGAAAAAGUUACCGCAGGGAUAACAGCGUAAUCCCCUCUAAGAGUCCUUAUUGACGAGGGGGCUUGCGACCUCGAUGUUGGAUUGGGGCAUCCUUUGGGUGCAGAAGCUCUAAACGG